GCUUACGGCCAUACCACCUUAGGCACGCCCGAUCUCGUCUGAUCUCGGAAGCUAAGCAGGGUUGGGCCUGGGUAGUACUUGGAUGGGUGACCGCCUUGGAAUACCAGGUGCUGUAAGCA
rnacentral:rRNA from 10 species